rnacentral:rRNA from 1 species
CGCCUCUUGACCAAAUAUAAGAGGUCCAGCCUGCCCACUGACAUAGUUUAACGGCCGCGGUACCCUAACCGUGCGAAGGUAGCAUAAUCACUUGUUCUUUAAAUAAGGACUUGUAUCAACGGCAUCACGAGGACUAUACUGUCUCCUUUCUCCAAUCAGUGAAACUGAUCUCCCCGUGAAGAAGCGGGGAUUAACCUAUAAGACGAGAAGACCCCAUGGAGCUUAAAGCCCACAAACACCUCUACGCACUUAAACCAAUUUAGCCUAAGAGACCUGUAAGCCGGCUUUAGGUUGGGGGGACCGCGGAGAAAAACCUAACCUCCACGACAAACGGGCAAACGCCCUUAUCCAUGAAUUACAAUUCUAAGAAUCAAUAAACUGAUGUUUAAUGACCCGAUUAUUCGAUCAACGAACCAAGUUACCCUGGGGAUAACAGCGCAAUCUACUUUAAGAGCUCAUAUCGACAAGUAGGUUUACGACCUCGAUGUUGGAUCAGGGUAUCCCAGUGGUGUAGCCGCUACUAAAGGUUCGUUUGUUCAACGAUUAAAACCCU